UGCGUAGGCGGUGCGGUAAGUUGGAUGUGAAAUCCCACGGCUCAACCGUGGAACUGCGUUCAAUACUGCCGUGCUUGAGGGAGACAGAGGCGAGCGGAACUGAUGGUGGAGCGGUGAAAUGCGUUGAUAUCAUCAGGAACACCCGUGGCGAAAGCGGCUCGCUGGGUCUCUUCUGACGCUGAGGCACGAAAGCUAGGGGAGCGAACG
rnacentral:rRNA from 1 species